rnacentral:tRNA from 1 species
UCCUUGGUUGUCCAUUGGCUAAGACUGUGGGUUCCUAAUGCAGAGGGCCCAGGUUCAAUCCCUGGUCAGGGAA